rnacentral:rRNA from 1 species
UACAGAGGGGCAAGCGUUGUUCGGAAAUUACUGGGCGUAAAGGGCGCGUAGGCGGCCUGCUAAGUCGAACGUGAAAUCCCCGGGCUCAACCCGGGAACUGCGUCCGAAUACUGGCAGGCUUGAAUUCGGGAGAGGGAUGCGGAAUUCCAAGGUGUAGCGGUGAAAUGACGCAGAAUAUCAAGGAGGAACACCGGUGGCGAAGGCGGAUCUCUGGGCCAUUACUGACGCUGAGGCGACGAAAGCGUGGGGAGCAAACAGG